AAAUGAGAAUAUUAACGUUUGAAUGGGACACAAUCAGCAGGUUUAUUUCGUUUUAAUUCAAUGUUACAAACAAAGCUAAUUUCACAGAUCACCACGAGGUUUUGCAGCUUCCCUUGUAGCCAUUUUGUGUGCAUUUCCCAAAAUACCUUUUUUGUGAAUUUUUAUUGUAUAGGGUUAUAGCUGAAAUUCUGAAUCCCUCAAUACAGCGCAGUCCUACACCUCUAAUCAGGGUGAUUAAGCUAGGAAUUUUUAUUAAUUCAAAUUAUAGCUCAAAUUAGACGAACUGGAAAAAUUAUCCAAUGUGGCUGUGUUUUCACUUCAGCUAUUUUUUGCCUAAAAUGUGGAAAUCACUUUGAAUUCCCAACAAAUCUAACUUUAGUGAAUAAACC